GCUUACAGUCAACCCUAAGGAGGGUGGAAGUGGAAGGAGGUUGGGCCUUAGGUCUGGGGAGGAGCUCCCUGAGCGAGGAGGAAGAGGAGGAGAAAAAUAGGUAAAGGUAUGUAUGCACAUGUUUUGAGAGUUCAAAGUGGGGAGGAUAGAACUACUGAAUCUUUUGUGUAGAGGACAUUUUCAGAUGUCCUGCACAAGUCAGCAAGGAUGUGUUCUCUGCACGGACAGACCUGGUGGCACAGGGUGCCAUCUUACCUGAGGAACAGCUUGGGACCAUAGCCUUAAACCUGAAGCCACUGAAAACUGGAGGAUUAUGAUGGGGACAUCACUGUGGCCAGGACGUUACCUGAGCAGCUGCAGGAGAAUGUCAGACAUCCAGAGUGGCUCCUGCUGGUCCAUGUGGCUGUGUCUUCUACAGCACUCAUGGAUACUGAUGGCUUCACGUCCAGAUAGAUUGUUGUACAGGCUCUACCACAACUAACAAAGGCAUGCAGGUUAUUUUUCACCUUAACAUGUACAACUCUUGUGAUGCUCAAGGAAACUUCAUGGAUAAAUUGAGACCAACGAGAGACAUGGACUGGAAACUCCUGGUACUGAAAAUGCUGUCCAAAACUAUUUCACCUGCCUGACAUCUACUCUACUAAGCCCUGAUCAAGGAGGAUCCUAGUAUUUGCUCAGAAACAGAUCUCCUGCUUUACUGGGACACUGCUGACAGAGGCUGGCCUUACUGCUUUGCCCUGGUCUCACCAUCUGCCCGGGAAUGGUUAUGAUGGCACAUGGAUUUUUUUGCAUGAACAGCAGGGAAUGUAGUGCAUAGUGCUCAACUCUUCCCACGGGCAUGCAGAGCGCAGAAAGCUGAUUUUUCCCCUUGUGCAUGCAGUGCAGAGAAGGCAAGCAAGGCUGGGAAUCAUUUUUGCAAAUGUGACAUAUAGAGCAAUCCUCCUGUUCAGCAGCAGCUUGUCCAUGAUAAGGACCUCAGGAGAAUAUAGCGAUUGAUGUAAUUUCACUAAGGGUUAGUCCAAGCUCUAAUGUAGCAUUCAAGCUGCAAACUUCACAGUGCUUAGAGCUGUUAUUUCUAGCUUUUUUCCUUCCUUAUUCAGACCAUGGCUUUUAUUUAAAUUUGAUGUAAUUACAUCCUUACACUGCGAAAAUUUACAUGGAUGUUUUUAUGGUGAAAGAUGAUGCAGACCCUGUAUAAAAUCUUUUAAGCUGCCUAUGAAUUGUAUCUUCAGUCAUAAAUUUUCAUGGAAGUGACAUAUGAUAGGGUACUGUAGCACAGGGCUGAGUUUUUCUACUCUUACUCAAUUUUUGUGGCUAAUUCUGCAUCCAGAGUCUGCUCACUGAAAUCAGACACGUGACAAAAUAUGUCAUGUCCAAAGAGCAUCCCAGAAAGGGGCAUAAAUAAGUACAAACCCACUGGAAAUUAGAUGGGUGCAGAUAAUGCUUAAAGGUUUAUGUUGUGCCCUGCCAAAAUACUAAAAACUUGAAGAUAACAUAACAUAAGAGUGAUCUGUGCUAUUCUGCAUUUAAUUUCACUUUUAUGGCCCAGUUCUUCAUAUUGUACAUGAUAAGCGAAUGCAGCAGCUGGAUUAAAAAUAUUAACGUCUUGUUUCCUAUAGAGGAAAAUCAAUCCUUUCCUUGAGGUAUUUCCUAUGGUUGAAAAUCAAUGUAAUGUUUUUUUUCUUACAUGAGUUAGUUAGUGAUUGUAGAAGGAGGAAAUGCUUUGCUUUAUGUGAAGCUAACGAAAGCAAAUUCUAAUGGCUGGCAAUUAAAGUAAUUAAAUCUAGAAUGAAAACAAAUACCUUUUUAAAGAGGAAUCCUGGAUUGCAGUUUGUAUGAAAUCUGAACUGAACUUUGU